rnacentral:rRNA from 1 species
AGUGAACGCUGGCGGUAGGCCUAACGCAUGCAAGUCGAACGGCAGCACAGUAAGAGCUUGCUCUUACGGGUGGCGAGUGGCGGACGGGUGAGGAAUACAUCGGAAUCUACUUUUUCGUGGGGGAUAACGUAGGAAAACUUACGCUAAUACCGCAUACGACCUACGGGUGAAAGCAGGGGAUCUUCGGACCUUGCGCGAUUGAAUGAGCCGAUGUCGGAUUAGCUAGUUGGCGGGGUAAAGGCCCACCAAGGCGACGAUCCGUAGCUGGUCUGAGAGGAUGAUCAGCCACACUGGAACUGAGACACGGUCCAGACUCCUACGGGAGGCAGCAGUGGGGAAUAUUGGACAAUGGGCGCAAGCCUGAUCCAGCCAUACCGCGUGGGUGAAGAAGGCCUUCGGGUUGUAAAGCCCUUUUGUUGGGAAAGAAAAGCAGCAGGUUAAUACCCCGCUGUUCUGACGGUACCCAAAGAAUAAGCACCGGCUAACUUCGUG